rnacentral:rRNA from 1 species
AACGAACGCUGGCGGCAGGCUUAACGCAUGCAAGUCGAGCGCCCCGCAAGGGGAGCGGCAGACGGGUGAGUAACGCGUGGGAAUCUACCCAUCUCUACGGAAUAACGCAUGGAAACGUGUGCUAAUACCGUAUACGUCCUUCGGGAGAAAGAUUUAUCGGAGAUGGAUGAGCCCGCGUUGGAUUAGCUAGUUGGUGGGGUAAAGGCCUACCAAGGCGACGAUCCAUAGCUGGUCUGAGAGGAUGAUCAGCCACACUGGGACUGAGACACGGCCCAGACUCCUACGGGAGGCAGCAGUGGGGAAUAUUGGACAAUGGGCGCAAGCCUGAUCCAGCCAUGCCGCGUGAGUGAUGAAGGCCCUAGGGUUGUAAAGCUCUUUCACCGGUGAAGAUAAUGACGGUAACUGGAGAAGAAGCCCCGGCUAACUUCGUGCCAGCAGCCGCCGUAACAC